rnacentral:rRNA from 1 species
AGAGUUUGAUCCUGGCUCAGGAUGAACGCUGGCGGCGUGCUUAACACAUGCAAGUCGAACGGUGAAGCAGAGCUUGCUCUGUGGAUCAGUGGCGAACGGGUGAGUAACACGUGAGCAAUCUGCCCCUGACUCUGGGAUAAGCGCUUGAAACGGCGUCUAAUACUGGAUACGAGCCGUGAAGGCAUCUUCAACGGUUGGAAAGAUUUUUCGGUCAGGGAUGAGCUCGCGGCCUAUCAGCUUGUUGGUGAGGUAAUGGCUCACCAAGGCGUCGACGGGUAGCCGGCCUGAGAGGGUGACCGGCCACACUGGGACUGAGACACGGCCCAGACUCCUACGGGAGGCAGCAGUGGGGAAUAUUGCACAAUGGGCGCAAGCCUGAUGCAGCAACGCCGCGUGAGGGAUGACGGCCUUCGGGUUGUAAACCUCUUUUAGCAGGGAAGAAGCGAAAGUGACGGUACCUGCAGAAAAAGCGCCGGCUAACUACGUGCCAGCAGCCGCGGUAAU